CCAAAUCAAAACAGUGUAGAAAUUAUAAUGGAUCUACAUCCAAAAUAUGUCCCGCUUGCUUAUAGUCAACUAAAUGCAAGCUAGACAUUCGGGGAGUAUCGUAAGAUCACAAAAAAACGACGGAUAGAGGAAAUGUUUUGCAAAUUUUGACGGCGAGGAAAUAUCACCAAUUCUCAGUGCGGCCCUUCAGACCUCGUUGAAGAUGCAGCCUCCGUGGCAAAGGAAGUUUGACACCCCUGAUAUAGACUAUAAAUAAAAUAUGGUAAGCAGUGUUGUGCUUCAUGUAGGUGUUUAUCUCUCAGUUGUUACUCUUGUGAAUGGUUAACCGAGCCGUAGUCAGGUCUAGGAGGUCUUGGUACAGAAGGUAUGAGAGAUACUCGGAAGGUAGAAGAGAUACUCGGAAGAUAGAAGAGAUCCUCAGAAGGUAGAAGAGAUACUCAGAAGGUAGAAGAGAUACUCAGAAGGUAGAAGAGAUACUCAGAAGGUAUGAGAGAUACUCAGAAGGUAGAAGAGAUACUCAGAAGGUAGAAGAGAUACUCAGAAGGCAUGAGAGAUACUCAGAAGGCAUGAGAGAUACUCAGAAGGUAUGAGAGAUGCUCAGAAGGCAUGAGAGAUACUCAGAAGGCAUGAGAGAUACUCAGAAGGUAUGAGAGAUGCUCAGAAGGCAUGAGAGAUACUCAGAAGGCAUGAGAGAUACUCAGAAGGUAUGAGAGAUACUCAGAAGGCAUGAGAGAUACUCAGAAGGUAUGAGAGAUACUCAGAAGGUAGAAGAGAUACUCAGAAGGUAUGAGAGAUACUCAGAAGGUAGAAGAGAUACUCAGUCAGAGGUGUAGAUGACUAGACAGAACAGGUACAGAUACUCAGUCAGAGGUGUAGAUGACUAGACACAACAGGUACAGAUACUCAGUCAGAGGUGUAGAUGACUAGACAGAACAGGUACAGAUACUCAGUCAGAGGUGUAGAUGACUAGACAGAACAGGUACAGAUACUCAGUCAGAGGUGUAGAUGACUAGACAGAACAGGCCCGAUGCUCCAGUAUCACAGGCCAUUGAUCAAAAGGAGUGUCGGCACACAGCAUAUUCUUUUAUCUAUCAGGUUAGGGGGGGGGGGGUCUCACCUCCAAGGAAUGGGAAUAACUAACAUGUUAAGGGGGGGUCUCACCUCCAAGGAAUGGGAAUAACAUGACAUCAGUCCCACAGGGUCAUUCUUGAGCUGCGGUAAUAUAUAUAUUUUUAAAUAAACGUUUUUUUGUUGUUGAUAUGGAUUAUUGAUAUUUACCUUCAACCCCGUCACAGACAACAUGAAUAUGAUUAUAAAAUAUACUUGUUAUAAAAUCAACAUGUUCCUAAUGCCCAAAUAAAUACAAUUAUUAGAUAUAUAAAAUCUCAUACAUUUUUGAUUUUAUUAAAACCCUGAAAUAGA